rnacentral:rRNA from 1 species
GUGAGGAAUAUUGGUCAAUGGGCGGGAGCCUGAACCAGCCAAGUCGCGUGAAGGAAGAAGGAUCUAUGGUUCGUAAACUUCUUUUGCAGGGGAAUAAAGUGCAGGACGUGUCCUGUUUUGUAUGUACCCUGAGAAUAAGGAUCGGCUAACUCCGUGCCAGCAGCCGCGGUAAUGCGGAGGAUCCGAGCGUUAUCCGGAUUUAUUGGGUUUAAAGGGUGCGUAGGUGGUUUGAUAAGUCAGCGGUGAAAGUUUGCAGCUUAACUGUAAAAAUGCCGUUGAAACUGUCGGACUUGAGUGUAAAUGAGGUAGGCGGAAUGCGUGGUGUAGCGGUGAAAUGCAUAGAUAUCACGCAGAACUCCGAUUGCGAAGGCAGCUUACUAAGCUACAACUGACACUGAAGCACGAAAGCGUGGGGAUCAAACAGGAUUAGAAACCCUUGUAGUCC